rnacentral:rRNA from 1 species
UACGUAGGGUGCAAGCGUUGUCCGGAAUUAUUGGGCGUAAAGAGCUCGUAGGCGGUCUGUCGCGUCGGCUGUGAAAACUCGGGGCUCAACUCCGAGCUUGCAGUCGAUACGGGCAGGCUAGAGUUCGGCAGGGGAGACUGGAAUUCCUGGUGUAGCGGUGAAAUGCGCAGAUAUCAAGUGGAACACCAGUGGCGAAGGCGAGUCUCUGGACAUUUCCUGACGCUGAGGCACGAAAGCCAGGGGAGCAAACGGG